rnacentral:pre_miRNA from 1 species
UUACUACUCCUUCCGUCCGGAAAUACUUGUCAUCAAAAUGGAUAAAAGGGGAUGUAUCUAGAUGCAUUUUAGUUCUAGAUACAUCUCCUUUUAUCCAUUUUGGUGACAAGUAUUUUCGGACGGAGGGAGUACCUU